rnacentral:lncRNA from 1 species
CGCUUUGGAUAAACUAAUCAGAAUCAGGUGAACUGUCAGUUGUGUACAGUUGGACGUCAGACGCUGAAAACGACACACAGAUCCAGCAGUCCCGGUCUCCAACAGUGCUCGUGCACCUCAUUGCUGUCCGAGUUGUUACAUUCCAAGAGGAAGCACAGACGAGAUGUUCGUACUCAGGCUUUCAGUUUUCUGUUCUGCGCGACCCUCUUGGCCGCCUGUGCCCCCAGAGCCCGCACUGCAGGCCACGUCGCGAGUGCUUGUAUCCAAACUUGGUGGUGGCUGAACAAGAAGAGACCCUUGACCAGGAUGAGUGUACAUUCUGCUGGUGGAGCACCCCACACAGCAACUGGGUACCUGUGGCCCAGCCCUGCAGAUAGACAGGCUGUCACACUGAGUGAGGACUUCACAAAUGCUCUCAAGAGGACCCGAGCUGCAGACCACCCGCCUAUCUCACGCAGGGUCCCGCUCCCGGAGGGAGGGACUUAGGUCUGAGACGCAGAAGCAGGUAUGAGAAGAAGCUGGUGAGAGACGAGCUACAACCAGACACCCCGAAGCGAAAACAGGAGCUCCUAGCUGCGUGGAGGUGCUCAGGACCUCUCGGGGUAGUCGGUGAACUCUGUCAGGGGCUUUACCGGGCUCACCAGAGGCCAGAACAGCACGUCUGUCUCCGGGAGACACUCCCCCUUCACACGCCCUCCGGCCAGGCUCCUGGUUUGUAGCUUCGCCCGCCUUGGGGCCGCUGUCAACGUGGCUGCUUCUGUCGUGAUGCCUUUGUCUUUGUUCCCAAUCUCUGCCUCCUCAGCAGAACGUGUGUUUCGCUGCAUUGACACUCCAGCUGCUUCCUCAGUACACACCAGGAUGUCCAAGGGCCACAGAGGACUCACCGAUCUCAUCACAGCCCGUGGAGCCUGAAGGGUGACUGGCUGUUUUCUGAGGAAAGAGCUCCUACGGCACAGCCGCUCCCCUCCCACAGCUCGUGGAACUAGACGCUGCCAUCUAGCACCCCCGGCCCAGAGAGGACGGCAUCCUCUGACUGUCACUACUUUUCUCUAGGCGGGAGGGAUGCUUAAGCUAGUUUCUUACCAAAUGCAAAAUAAAUUAACUGAUAAAAAUACUUAAGAAGAGUUU